rnacentral:rRNA from 1 species
GCUAACUAUCUAGCCUACAAACUAUUAAAGAAACCUGACUUCAACUAAUACAGAAUAAAACAUUUUAUUGUUUAAGUAAAGGCGAUUGAAAAACCACUAAGAGCUUCAACUUUAGUACCGCAAGGGAAAGAUGAAAUACAAAUGAAAUAAAAUAAAGCACAAUAUAGUAGAGGCUAAAACUCGUACCUUUUGCAUCAUGGUCUAACAAGUCAUUAUCAAGCAUAGAGGCACUCAAGUUUGAUUUCCCGAAACUAGGCGAGCUACUUCAGAAUAGCACUUAGAGCCAACCCGUCUCUGUUGCAAAAGAGUGGGAAAAUUCUCAAGUAGUAGUGACAAGCCUAUCGAGCCUAGAGAUAGCUGGUUAUUCAAGAAAAGAAUUUUAGUUCUACCUUAAGUUUUUAUAUGAGUACAAACAUAAUGUUAUACUUAAGAGCUACUCAAAUAAGGCACAGCUUAUUUGAAAAAGGAUACAACCUAAACUUUAGGGUAAAAUUUUAUAAACCUAAUAAAGUAGGCCUAAAAGCAGCCAUCUUUUAAAAAGCGUCAAAGCUUUAUCUUUAAUUUUUUAAAUUCAACCUAAUAUUAUUAACCCAUUACCAGUAUUGAAUAACUUCAUAAAUUAUGAAAAAUACUAUGUUAGAACUAGUAACAAGAAAAUGAAUUUCUCCAAAGUGUAAACAUAAACCAAAAUGGACAACCCAUUGGUGAUUAACGACCUUGAACUCACUAUAACAAAACAUCUAGAAAACUUUAUAUUUUAGUGUCGUUAACCUUACACAAGAACUCUUCUGGAAAGAUUAAAAGGAAGAGAAGGAACUCGGCAAAUUUNAACCCCGCCUGUUUACCAAAAACAUCGCCUUUUGCAUAAAUAUAAAAGGUCCCGCCUGCCCACUGUUUUUAAAAAUCAACGGCCGCGUGAUUUAAACGCGCUAAGGUAGCAUAAUAAUUUGUUCUUUAAAUGAGGACUUGUAUCAAUGGCAUCACGAGGGUUAUACUGUCUCCUCUCCCCAAUCAGUGAAACUAAUCUCCCUGUGAAAAAGCAGGAAUAAGCCUAUAAGACGAGAAGACCCCAUGGAGCUUAAAACAUAGUAACAACCAUGAUAACAUAUCAACAUAAUUUUUAGCCAUGUAUACUAGUUUUAGGUUGGGGUGACCACGGAGUAAAAUAAAGCCUCCACGACGAAAAGAGUAUGCACUUUUAUCUAAGAGAUACUUCUCUAAGAAUUAUUAAAAUAACGUUUAAUGAUCCGACUAUCGACCAACGGACCAAGUUACCCUGGGGAUAACAGCGCAAUCCACUCUGAAAGCUCCUAUCGACGAGUGGGCUUACGACCUCGAU